UACGUAGGGUGCGAGCGUUGUCCGGAAUUAUUGGGCGUAAAGGGCUCGUAGGCGGUUUGUCACGUCGGGAGUGAAAACUCGGGGCUUAACCCCGAGCCUGCUUCCGAUACGGGCAGACUAGAGGUAUGCAGGGGAGAACGGAAUUCCUGGUGUAGCGGUGAAAUGCGCAGAUAUCAGGAGGAACACCGGUGGCGAAGGCGGUUCUCUGGGCAUGAUCUGACGCUGAGGAGCGAAAGUGUGGGGAUCAAACAGG
rnacentral:rRNA from 1 species